rnacentral:rRNA from 1 species
AGUGAACGCUGGCGGUAGGCCUAACACAUGCAAGUCGAACGGCAGCACAGUAAGAGCUUGCUCUUACGGGUGGCGAGUGGCGGACGGGUGAGGAAUACAUCGGAAUCUACUUUUUCGUGGGGGAUAACGUAGGGAAACUUACGCUAAUACCGCAUACGACCUACGGGUGAAAGCAGGGGAUCUUCGGACCUUGCGCGAUUGAAUGAGCCGAUGUCGGAUUAGCUAGUUGGCGGGGUAAAGGCCCACCAAGGCGACGAUCCGUAGCUGGUCUGAGAGGAUGAUCAGCCACACUGGAACUGAGACACGGUCCAGACUCCUACGGGAGGCAGCAGUGGGGAAUAGUGGACAAUGGGCGCAAGCCUGAUCCAGCCAUACCGCGUGGGUGAAGAAGGCCUUCGGGUUGUAAAGCCCUUUUGUUGGGAAAGAAAAGCAGCAGGUUAAUACCCCGCUGUUCUGACGGUACCCAAAGAAUAAGCACCGGCUAACUCCGUG